AGAUACAAUAGUACAAUACCAGCACAUUCUUGGGGAGGGGAAUAAGUUAAUAAAUUAUCUAGCUAAUUAUGUAAUUGAGGAAGGGAACUUCCCAUGAACAAGCUUUCAGCAUCUAAAAGUUACCGGAAAAAAAUUACUUAAUAGUGACAAAUCACAAGUUCCAUAUUUAAGAGUGUCACCACAAAGAAAGUGAGAGGCUGAUAGGUUAAAGCUUACAAGGUCCAUAAUUAAAUAUUUACAAGUCAUGAAAGGCUAAAAAAAAAGUGCAAAGCUAACUAACCUAUAUUAUAGCAACCAACAAACUGGACUCGCAGCAAAAAGAAAGGAUCAGUGUGUCAGAAUAGAAUUGGUUAACUUGAGAUAUGGGUUAGUUUCUAAAUACUUGUGGUUCCAAGCAUCCCACUAUCUUCAUACUAGCUGUAUCUGUCAUUGUAGAAGGGUUAGAGCAAGAAUGAAGAAUAGAUUAGCAAGAUUAAGGCCAAGUUGCUUACUCAAAAAUGGUAACAAUAUCCAGAUGACAAAAUCCGUUAAGAAAGCAUAAAAAGUUGUUAUUGGUCCCAUCCACCAGAGAGCACAACUAUUGAACACUAAAUUAAAGGAUAAUCAGCUAAAGAAUCAACUCAAGAGCAAAAAUGGAAAAAGUUAAAAGAACUUACUUCUGCAAGCUAAUAAAAGCAAGCAUGUGCAACAUCCAUGGUACCGUGUUUAUCACCAAGAGCCGAAGAAAGAUGAACUGAAGGCUGAAGGCUGAACAAUGAAGGCAGCAGCAUGAAAUUUUAGAUGGGAGAUGGGGAAAAUGGGGAAAUGCUUUAGGAAACCCUAUAGAUUCGGUUAUAUGUAAUAAGCU
rnacentral:lncRNA from 1 species